rnacentral:sRNA from 1 species
GGGAAACUUUAUUCCUUCAUUGAAACCAGCCUCGAAGAUGGAGUUCCAUGAUCAACAGGAAUCGACUCCCUCUGCAGCUGAGCCUUCAGACCAGAAGGAAAAGGAGUCAGAGAAGCAAAGUAAGCCUGGUGAAGACCUUAAACAUGCUGCCUUAGUUUCUCAGCCAGAGACAACUACAACUUACCCUGAUAAAAAGGACAUGCAAGGCACAGAAGAAGAAAAAGCACCCCCAGCUUUGUUUGGGCACACUCUUAUUGCCAGCCUGGAAGACAUGAAACAGAAGACAGAACCAAGCCUUGUAGUACCUGGCAUUGACCUUCCUAAAGAGCCUCCAACUCCAAAAGAACAAAAGGACUGGUUCAUCGAAAUGCCAACGGAAGCAAAAAAGGAUGAGUGGGGUUUAGUUGCCCCAAUAUCUCCUGGCCCUCUGACUCCCAUGAGGGAAAAAGACGUAUUUGAUGAUAUCCCAAAAUGGGAAGGGAAACAAUUUGAUUCUCCCAUGCCAAGUCCCUUUCAAGGUGGAAGCUUCACUCUUCCUUUGGAUGUCAUGAAGAA